AGUACCGCGAGGAAAAGCAGGAGCCGCAACAGUCGUAUAAUUCUUACUGUGGGCGUAGCACGUGUUGCCUUUUAGCUGUGUAGGAAGGUGUACUGUGUGAGAGAUGCGCCUUUUUUUCGUGCUGUCUCUUAUUUGUCUAACGUUGAGGUUUCGGUCGACUCGUCUCAGCCAAGAUCUCCUUCACUUUCGGUGUCCUUCGAAAUUCCCAGAAUCCACAGGGCUUCUAAGGAGAAUAGCGCUUGACUGCGCAACGGAAAAGACCUUUCGAAUAUAGGUUACAGCAACUACACUGACCUCAUGUGCCCAAACUCCUAUACACAAUAGUGUUUCAUUCAGUUCUUCCAUACUCAUUGUCAUUAAGUUUAGAAUUGUUUAUAUUUUUCUAAUAAAAUGAUAGUACUAAUUUGUUUCCAUUUUCGUGUCAUUUGAUUUAUUCAUGUUAUGACGAAGAGUUCAAAUAUAUUACUGAUUAAUAAGCAUCAUAAUGUGCAUUAUGAAUAUAUUACUGAUAUACAUACAGCACCCCAAACUUGCCCAGAUACAUUCGGACUGUGAUAUCAACUAACUUUCAUAAGAAUGCUUCCAGGACUUGCUUCUCUUCUGUGUGUUCAUCUAAGUAUACAUGAAUGUUUGCAUGAAUUUUGUAUAUGUACAUGAUGCAUCUUAGUACUCAUGCUAAAAAUCGUUUCGAGAGUUUUACCGCACACACAUCAAACGAAGAAUUUACUAGUCUCCAUUCCGGCAACAACCUCGUCACAACUUAUGCAAUAACGAUUAAGCGCAUCUGAAGGAAAGAUAUGCUCGGUGGAAAUUAACCCCAGAUUAUACAACUGCUACGAGAAAUUCUCAUUGACAGCAAAUUUGGCUACAGUAUUGCCAAGUCGGCCCCAGUACAGUCCACCUCUUUAUGGUGUUUUAUAUACUGAUUUAUAUACACUGACGUCAGCAGAAACGCCAGAACAAGUUAUAUAAACUUCAGGAUACGGCAGCUGGAUCAUUUCUCGUCCUGAGGUCGUACCUUCCUACAGCACGUCAGGUACGAAGGCUAUACAACGACACCACCGAAGAUGCGUUUCCUCCUCGUUUUCUUGGCUCUGGGAGUCCUCGUGGGGGGAGUCCUGGCGAUUCCCAGACGCCGACUCAACAGAGGUCGCGACAACAGGGACGGGGGACGGAAGAAUAAUGCUGACAACCGACGACCACCCGAGGCGCUGCCCUUCAGCCCUCCUUUAUUCCUUAGUGGCAAGUAAUAGUUGAAAAGAGGUCGCUUUGUGACCUGCUUCGACUUUGGUUCUGGGACUUUCAAAGAUGACCUGGAGGAGUAUUUUUAAAUAUCGUAUCUCAUUCACUCGAAAAAAAUAUUUAUCUCGCAAAAGGAAAUCAAUAUCUCUGUUCGUCAUAGGCAAGAAAAACGAUUUUGUUACUCAAUUUUCCCUUAAUGAAAAUCGGUCUUUCCUCAUCACACAGGUGAGUGACCCACGCUCUGUUUCAGUGUUACCAAAGAGAGUGAAUGUGACCACAGGUAUGUUUUUUUUUAAGACUGCAUUCAUACAUAUUAAGUAUAAGACAUGUAUGUGUGUAGUAAUAGGAUUAAGUAUUUCGAGGCUUAGUUUAACUACUGUGGUUUUAACAUGUGAAACAAUGUUUACCAGUGCCUGUACUAUAUAUCAAUAUGAUUUAGUGAAUGAAAGACACACACACACACACACACACACACACACACACACACACACACACACACACACACACACACACACACACACUCACACCUUUGAAAUGGUGUAUUCUCGGCCAAGAUAUAAAAAGGUACGCUGAAUUUUACUUUUCACUGGCAUUCUUCAGAUGAAAAGGUUUAUAUAUUCCUACAUUAUUAACACAUUUUUUUAUGAUCCUAAAUGCUUAUAAAGGUUGGUAUAUUCUUAAUAUUGUAUCAUAAUUUAUUCUUGGAAUAUUUAUCAAUUGUCUUAUUUUUAGUACACUAGCUGAUUAACAAUUUUUAAACUGUAGGCUACCGAUACGAGUGUAUACGUGGUUCCUGUUAGAUAUGAGAGAAAUGCAUGACCCACAUGUAAAUAUUUAUGUUGCCUGUCAAUGUAUAAUGACAUACCUGUCACAGAUC
rnacentral:lncRNA from 1 species